AACAGGAGUUAAGCAGAUUCUCCUAGGUCGUGUGUCCGACGCUGGGAAUUCGAUCAGUGAUUUCUAGCGCCAACACACUUUUGACACGCCCGGUGGGACCAAUACAACCGCCACCAUGUCGAAAGCUGCUGAAGUCUCCGAAGAUAACGUCAUCGAAGUGACAGAGGCAGAUCUCAGGGAUGACCAGAAGGAAGAACUAGAGAGGCAGACGGCAUACUACCGGAAGACAUGUCUG
rnacentral:lncRNA from 1 species